rnacentral:lncRNA from 1 species
CCCCUCUUCUUCCUCUUAGGUCUUGGUACACAUAACCCAACUUGUGGUAGCAUCCACAAGUCUUCACCUAAAGACUUUCUCUGGCCACCAGAGCCUGCUCUGCCCCUGGACAUGCCAGAGUGAAAGUGAUGGAGAAUGCCUGCUUCCCGGGAACAGCCCUCAGUGAUGGAUGGGAAUUGGUGUACAGCUGCCCCAGCCCUAUCACUUCUCAGUUGGGGUAAGUCUGAGGUGCGUGUUCCAUGCUGGCUCUUGGAGCUCCCCAGGAGGAUUAUUCUCCAGCUGCCCCCGUGGUAACUCACUGGACAACACACCCUUUAUGGUCUGCCUUUCCUCACUGCCCUGCCUUCACCCGCCAAAUCAACCACUUGUACUUGAAUCCCUGACUCAGCAUCUGCUUUGGGAAGAAACCAAGCACAGAGAAGCACACACAUCUAUCAGUGACAACCCUGGAACCCAUCAAUUGAGGCGACCACAGGAAGAAAGCAGAUCAGAUCCCUGAGCAAACUUGAAAGGGACUGCCCCAGUGAGCUACCUGACCUGCAAUGGACUUCGAGUAGCAGAAUAUUGGCAUGUAGCGCUACUCAAAACAUAGAAAGCAGAAAUAAAUCGUUUCCGCCUGGAGGACCUCCUCCAUCUCAACACCCAGUGGUUUUGACAGAAUUGAUAUAGAAAUAGAAACUUCAAGGUGGGAACUUUUUAUUUAAUGCAAAGUAAUAAAUGAUUUAAGAAACUACAUUUGUUGCA